UUUGCAUGGCAACAAUUGAAGAGAAUUUAAAGAUACCUGACCUGCUGAUUUAUUGCGAUCGAUGAGUGAAAGUGUAAAGUGCCUAAAAGAUAACCAUCUAUUGCAUAACUACCAAUUUUAUCUCCCAUUUCUUCUAAAUAUUUUGUUCAGACAAUAACAUUGCACCAAAUAGAGGGAAAUUAAGAAUUUUAUUGUUCAUGACAGAUGUAAAUAAAUAGAAGUGCAGAAAGUAUAAACCAUAACUUGUCUUCAACAUUGUUUUUGACAAUCCCUCUUGUUGUACUUUACAAAUUGAUCUGGAAAUAACAUUGCAACUACUGAUUUAACAGUGUGGGGAAUCACGUGACCCAAAAUGGUACGGAACACGGAAAUCAACAUGGCGGACUUCUGACAUUUUUACCAAUUUUCAAAGAAAUGGCAAAACCUAAGAAGAAAUGGAGUCUGACACUUGGAAAAAGAAGUGGAUAAAGAAGCAAAACAAGAAUGUCAAUAUUAAACUAACUUUCCAAUUGCCGCAAUGCGCCAGGAAAUCACCAGCGAGAAAACCAACAAAAAGACUGAUUACGCCAUCUGAAUCCCCUCUACAACUUAUAUCCAGCAAACUGAAGAAUUAAAUCAUUUAGGUCACCUGUCGCUUCCAAAAAA